GCUUACGGCCAUACCAGCCUGGCUAUGCCCGAUCUCGUCUGAUCUCGGAAGCUAAGCAGGUUUGGACCUGGUUAGUACUUGGAUGGGAGACCGCCUGGGAAUACCAGGUGCUGUAAGCA
rnacentral:rRNA from 1 species